GGCCACCGUGGGCGGCGGCGCGGCCCGCCGUGCGCCGUUCACGGCGGCGGCCUGGCGCCCGUUCUCGGCGGCCUGAUGGCCG
rnacentral:tRNA from 1 species